rnacentral:rRNA from 1 species
AUUGAACGCUGGCGGCAUGCCUUACACAUGCAAGUCGAACGGUAACAGGUCUUCGGAUGCUGACGAGUGGCGAACGGGUGAGUAAUGCAUCGGAACGUGCCGAGUAGUGGGGGAUAACGCAGCGAAAGUUGUGCUAAUACCGCAUACGUACUGAGGUAGAAAGUGGGGGACCUUCGGGCCUCACGCUAUUCGAGCGGCCGACGUCUGAUUAGCUAGUAGGUGAGGUAAAGGCUCACCUAGGCGACGAUCAGUAGCGGGUCUGAGAGGAUGAUCCGCCACACUGGGACUGAGACACGGCCCAGACUCCUACGGGAGGCAGCAGUGGGGAAUUUUGGACAAUGGGCGAAAGCCUGAUCCAGCCAUGCCGCGUGUCUGAAGAAGGCCUUCGGGUUGUAAAGGACUUUUGUCGGGGAGGAAAUCCCCAGCGCUAAUACCGCUGGGGGAUGACAGUACCUGAAGAAUAAGCACCGGCUAACUACGUGCCAGCCGCCGCCGUAAGAC